rnacentral:rRNA from 1 species
AGAGUUUGAUCCUGGCUCAGAAUCAACGCUGGCGGCGUGCCUAACACAUGCAAGUCGAACGCGAAGAUCCCGCAAGGGAUUUGUAGCGUGGCAAACGGGUGAGUAACACGUGGGUGACCUGCCUUCGAGCGGGGGAUAACGUUCCGAAAGGGACGCUAAUACCGCAUAACAUCCUGCUUUCGAACAAGUGGAGAUCAAAGCCGGGGAUCGCAAGACCUGGCACUCGAAGGGGGGCCCGCGCCUGAUUAGCUAGUUGGUGAGGUAACGGCUCACCAAGGCAACGAUCAGUAUCCGGCCUGAGAGGGCGGACGGACACACUGGGACUGAGACACGGCCCAGACUCCUACGGGAGGCAGCAGUGGGGAAUUGUUCGCAAUGGGCGCAAGCCUGACGACGCAACGCCGCGUGGAGGAUGAAGAUCUUCGGGUCGUAAACUCCUUUCGAUCGAGACGAACGGCUUCCGUGCUAAUCAGCGGAAGAGUGACGGUUCCGAGAGAGAAGCCCCGGCUACUCCCGUGCCAGCAGCCGCGGUA